UACGGGGGGAGCAAGCGUUGUCCGGAAUCACUGGGCGUAAAGGGCGCGUAGGUGGCUUAGUAAGCGUGUGGUGAAAGCCCGGGGCUUAACCCCGGGUCUGCCGUGCGAACUGCUAUGGCUAGAGUACUGUAGAGGCAGGUUGAAUUCCGGGUGUAGCGGUGGAAUGCGUAGAGAUCCGGAAGAAUACCGGUGGCGAAGGCGGCCUGCUGGGCAGUUACUGACACUGAGGCGCGACGAGCGUGGGGAGCAAACAGG
rnacentral:rRNA from 1 species